rnacentral:lncRNA from 1 species
CUCAUUCUGGACUUGAGGGACAGGCUCUUAGGUUUCCGACCAAGGAUGAUUUUCCCACCCGGGCCGAAGUCCUCACGUCGAUUCCCGAGGAUUGCUUUGAGAAGGAUACUGUCAAGUCGUUGUUUUAUGCCGCACUUUCAGCCGCUAUGACACUUAGUUGUGGUCUUCUUGCUUUCGCAUAUGUCCCCAUGAAGCUUGCAUAUUUGCCCACCUGGUUAGCAUACGCAGCGCUCACGGGCACGAUCGGGACUGGGUGUUGGGUAAUCGCGCACGAGUGUGGACAUAAUGCGUUUUCGAAGAAUCGAUUCAUUCAAGAUGCUGUUGGAUAUCUUCUUCACUCUCUUCUCCUCGUACCUUACUUCAGUUGGCAGCGCUCGCAUGCUGUUCAUCACUCACGAACAAACCAUCUCACAGAAGGUGAGACGCAUGUUCCCUACGUAAAAGGUGAAGUGAAGGGAUCUCUGAAUCUUGAGCUUCAUAAACGGUUGGGUGAAGGGCCGUUUGCAAUCCUACAGCUCGUUGCACACUUAGUGUUCGGCUGGCCAGCUUACCUUUUAACUGGAGCAACUGGCGGGUCCGCUCGAGGGGUGACGAACCAUUUCAUUCCAAGCAUCAACACAGGACCGAUCGAGCUAUUUCCCGGAAGCUGGAAGAAGAAAGUAUGGCUGUCCGAUGUUGGCGUCGUCGGCUUCGUCGCUAUUCUUGCUCACUGGGCUUACAACUCUGGUCUCGCGACUGUCGCUGCCCUUUAUUUCGGUAGGCACCUUUGUCCUUUGUUUCAAUCGUUCAUCUAGACAAGAAUUUCAAAAUUGAACGCUUAACGUAUAUUUCCUUGAUGCAGGGCCGUACUUGUUUGUCAACAUCUGGCUAGUGCUUUAUACCUGGUUGCAGCACACAGACACCGACGUGCCUCACCUUGCAGCUUCAGAAUGGUCAUACAUAAAGGGUGCUUUCCUCACAAUUGACCGCCCAUACGGCGCAAUUUUUGAUUUUCUUCAUCACCGCAUCGGAAGCACGCAUGUUGCCCAUCACGUUGAAUGCGCUAUACCUCACUACAAUGCGUUGAAGGCAACAG